AUUGAACGCUGGCGGAAUGCUUUACACGUGCAAGUCGAGCGGCAGCGCGGGGCAACCUGGCGGCGAGCGGCGAACGGGUGAGUAAUGCAUCGGAACAUGUCCAAGUCGUGGGGGAUAGCCCGGCGAAAGCCGGAUUAAUACCGCAUACGCCCGAGGGGGGAAAGCCGGGGACCGCGAGGCCUGGCGCGAUUGGGUUGGCCGAUGUCCGAUUAGCUAGUUGGCGGGGUAAGAGCCCACCAAGGCGAUGAUCGGUAGCUGGUCUGAGAGGAUGAUCAGCCGCACUGGGACUGAGACACGGCCCAGACUCCUACGGGAGGCAGCAGUGGGGAAUUUCGGACAAUGGGGGAAACCCUGAUCCAGCCGUUCCGCGUGAGUGAAGAAGGCCUUCGGGUUGUAAAGCUCUUUUGUCCGGAACGAAACGGUGCUCGUGAAUAUCGAGCGCUACUGACGGUACCGGGAGAUUAAGCACCGGCUAACUACGUGCCAGCAGCCGCAGUAACAC
rnacentral:rRNA from 1 species